rnacentral:lncRNA from 1 species
GAGGGGGGUGUGUCUGCCUGUGUGGGGGGGUGGGGGAAGCCGCGGGAUGAGACGCAGGCCCCUCCCGGUACCCCGGGGGUCCGGGCUCCAUGUAGCCGGCCAGUCCGAUCCGCUCGGCUGGGGACGGCGCAGCACCCCAACCCCCUCCGCCCUCCCCGCCCCAGGCCGGCCCGGACCCCUGAGGAGACCCUGCCGAUCCCCCGCCCAGCUGGCCCCCUUUCCGGGCUGAGGGGGGGCGGGCGCGGCUUAUUGCCACGGGUGCCACGGGGCCUAGGCCCCGGAACCACGGGCGCGAGGGAGGGCGGGUGGGCGGGCAGGGGCCCCGCAGCUAGGCCGGAGGUGGAAGCUGGCUGGCUGGCUCACCCUGGCAUUUAUUUCUCUUGCCCUGCUAGGACCGAACCGCGGUGGGGCCGGCCGGCAGCGCCGCCCCGGCCCGCCCGGGCCCGUCGCUGGAGGCUGCUGCCCGCCCCUCGGCGGGGGCACCCCGACUUUGGGCCGCGAACUCCGCCACGGGAGGAGGAGAGGAACUGCAGGCCCGAACCACGGUGGGGCCUGCCGGCGGUGCCGGCCCAGCCCGUCCGGGCCCAACGCUGGAGCCUGCUGCCCGCCCUUCAGCGGGGCCACACCGACCUUAGUGGGAGAAGAUGGAGAGCAUCUGCAGGUGAGUCGGGGGGGGCGGGCGGCGCCGUACCCUUCGAGUCGCCCUCACUGUCGUCGUCGCCACCGCCGCCCUGGCAGGGUCCCGCCCCGAGCGGCUGGAGAGCCUGGCCCCGCCGGACCGGCCGGCCCCCCCAACCUCCUCCUCCCUUGCCUCGACCAGCAGGAUGCGUAGGAGGAGGAGCCGGAGCCAGCGGAGGAGGAUUCUUCCUUUUCUUCUUCUUCUUCCUCUUCUUCUUCUUGUUCUUCUUGUGGCUUUGGACUCUCUGGCCCCACCGGCCCCCCCACGGGACGACCCGGUGUUCCCCCCCUUUUCCCCGUCUUGGGCCCUCCCCUCUUGCCCUCGCGCCGGCUCUCUCCCCCUCCCCUGGCCUGGCCUUGCCUGGCCUGGCCCUGCGCGCCCUCCCUUCUGGUGCGAGGCCCCCCCUUGGUCCCGGUUUUGCCUUUGGCCGCUCGCGCCCCCCUUUCCCCUCUCGCCACCCCCCUUGUCCUCCCAUCGCCUGGCCUCGACCUCGGGCCCCGCCGUCUGCCUGGCCUCCGCUUGGUCCCCGGCCUCCGGUGUUCCCGGAGCGCUCGCCGACCUCGGCUCCGGCCCUCCCCCACGGCCCUGGCCGCCGCCUCCCCGUUUCUGCUGCUGGCUUCCCCUUGCCGCCCCCCCCCCGCUCCUCUUGGCCCCUGCCCUCCCCGGGUCCCCUCUCCUCCCCUGGGUCGGUCCCCAGCUCGCCCCAUCUUUGUUCCCCGUCGGUCCUGAGCUCCCGGCCGGUCCUUUUCUGCGCGUCUGACUUUUGCUCCCGCCCUGCCCUUUGCUCCCGGCCCCACGUUUUCUCCCGGCCAAACCUCAGGUCCCAGCCUGACCUUUUCUCUCAGCUAAACCUUUUCGGCGGGUCUGCCCUUUGCUCCCGGCCUGAUCUUUUCUCCCGGCUAAACCAAUGCUCCCGGUUAAACCUCUGCCGCCGGUCUGCCCUUUGCUCCCGGCCUGAUCUUUUCUCCCGGCUAAACCUCUGCUCCCAGUUAAACCUCUUCCCCCGGCACUCCCUUUGCUCCCGGCCUGAUCAUUUCUCCCGGCUAAACCUCUGCUCCUGGUUAAACCUCUGCCCCCGGCCCGCCCUUUGCUCCCGGCCUGAUCAUUUCUCCCGGCUAAACCUCUGCUCCUGGUUAAACCUCUGCCCCCGGCACUCCCUUUGCUCCCGGCCUGAUCUUUUCUCCUGGCUAAACCUCUGCUCCCGGCCCGCCCUUUGCUCCCGGCCUGGUCUUUUCUCCCGGCUAAACCUCUGCCCGCGGCCUGACCUGUGCUCCAGACCUGACCUUUUUCUUCUGGAUUAACCUUUUCUGUGGGCCUGACCUUUGCUCCCGGCCCCACCUUUUCUGCGGGUCUCCCUUUGCUCCCGGCCUGAUCUUUUCUCCCGGCUAAACCUCUGCCCCCGGCCCGCCCUGUGCUCCCGGCUUGAUCUUUUCUCCCGGCUAAACCUCUGCUCCCGGUUAAACGUCUGCCCCCGGCCCGCCAUUUGCUCCCAGCCCCAUCUUUUCUCCCGGCUAAACCUCUGCUCCCAGCCUGACCUGUGCUCCCGACCUGACCUUUAAUUCCGGCCUAAACUUUUCUGCGGGUCUGACUUUUCUUCCGCCCUAACCUUUUCUGCGGGUCUAACCUCUGCUCCUGGCCUGACCUGUGCUCCCGACCUUACCUUUUUCUUCCGGAUUAACCUUUUCAGCGGGCCUGACCUUUGCUCCCGGCCCGCCCUUUGCUCCCGGCCCGCCCUUUGCUCCCGGCCUGGUCUUUUCUCCCGGUUAAACCUCUGCCCCCGGCCCGCCCUUUGUUUCCGACCGGAUCUUUUCUGCUGGCUAAACCUCUGCCCCCGGCCCGCCCUUUGCUCCCGGCCUGAUCCUUUCUUCCGGCCUGAUGUUUUCUCCCGGCUAAAUCUCUGCCCCCGGCCCGCCCUUUGCUCCCGGCCUGAUCUUUUCUCCCGGCUAAACCUCUGCUCCCGGUUUAACCUUUGCCCCCGGCCGGCCCUUUGCUCCCGGCCUGAUCUUUUCUCCCGGCUAAACCUCUGCUCCCGGCCAAACCUCUGCCCCCGGCCCGCCAUUUGCUCCUGGCCUGACCUUUUCUCCCGGCCUGACCUCUGCCCCCGGCCCGCCCUUUGCUCCCGGCCUGAUGUUUUCUUCCGGGUAAACCUCUGCUCCCGGUGAAACCUCUGCCCCCGGCCCGUCCUUUCCUCCAAGCCUGACCUUUUCUCCCAGCCCCAUAUUUUCUCCUGGCCAAACCUCUGCCCCCGGCCCGCCCUUUGCUCCCGGCCUGAUCUCUGCUCCCGGCUAAACCUCUGUUCCCUGUUAAACCUCUGCCCCCGGCCAGCCCUUUGCUCCCGGCUUGAUCUUUUCUCCCGGCUAAACCUCUGCUCCCGGUUAAACGUCUGCCCCCGGCCCGCCAUUUGCUCCCAUCCCCAUCUUUUCUCCCGGCUAAACCUCUGCUCCGGGCCUGACUUGUGCUUCCGACCUGAUCUUUUUCUUCCGGAUCAAUCUUCUCUGCGGGCCUGACCUUUGCUCCCGGCCCCACCUUUUCUGCGGGCCUGCCCUUUGCUCCCGGCCUGAUUUUUUCUCCCGGCCAAACCUGUGCCUCCGGUUAAACCUCUGCCCCCGGCCCGCCCUUUUCUCCCGGCCUGAUCUUUUCUCCUGGCCAAACCUCUGCUCCCGGUGAAACCUCUGCCCCCGGCCCGCCCUUUGCUCCCGGCCUGAUCUUUUCUUCCUUCCUGAUCUUUUCUCCCGGCCAAACCUCUGCUCGCGGCCCGCCCUUUGCUCCCGGCCUGAUGUUUUCUUCCGGCCAAACCUCUGCCCCCGGCCCGCCGUUUGCUCCCGGCCUGAUGUUUUCUCCCGGCCUGACCUCUGCCCCCGGCCCGCCCUUUGCUCCCGGCCUGAUCUUUUCUCACGGCCAAAUCUCUGCUCCCGGCCCGCCCUUUGCUCCCAGCCCCAUCUUUUCUCCCGGCUAAACCUCUGCUCCGGGUUAAAUCUCUGCCCCCGGUCCGCCCUUUGCUUCCGACCGGGUCUUUUCUCCCCGCUAAACCUCUGCCCCCGGCCCGCCCUUUGCUCCCGGCCUGAUGUUUUUUUCCGGCCUGAUCUUUUAUCCCGGCCAAACCUUUUCCUCCGGCCUGACCUUUUUCUUCCGGCCGGAACUUUUCGGCGGGUCUGGGCUCUGCUCCCGGCGCGAUCUUUGCCCCCGGCCCCAGCUUUUCUCCCGGCUAAACCUCUGCUCCCGGUUAAAUCUCUGCCCCCGGCCCGCCCUUUGAUCCCGGCCUGAUCUUUUCUCCCGGCUAAACCUCUGCUCCCGGUUAAACCUCUGCCCCCGGCCCGCCCUUUGCUCCCGGCCUGAUCUUUUCUUCCAGCUAAACCUCUGGCCGAGGCCUUACCUGUGCUCCUACCUGACCUUUUUCAUCUGGAUUAACCUUUUCUGCGGGCCUGACCUUUGCUCCCGGCCCCACCUUUUCUGCGUGUCUCCCUUUGCUCCCAGCCUGAUCUUUUUUCCCGGCUAAACCAAUGCUCCCGGUUAAACCUCUGCCCGCGGCCCGCCCUUUACUCCCGGCCUGAUCGUUUCUCCCGGCUAAACCUCUGCUCCCGGUUAAACCUCUGCCACCGGCCCGCCCUGUGCUCCCGGCCUGAUCUUUUUUCCCAGCUAAACCUCAGCUCCCGGUUAAACCUCUGCCCCCGGCCCACCCUUUGCUCCCGGCCUGAUCUUUUCUCCCGGCUAAACCUCUGCUCCCGCUUAAACAUCUGCCCCCGGCCCGCCCUUUGCUCCCGGCCUGAUCUUUUCUUCCGGAUACACCUCUGGCCGUGGCCUUACCUCUGCUCCAGACCUGACCGUUUUCUUCUGGAUUAACCUUUUCUG